UGACUGGACCAGAUAAUCGCGGAUGCAAUGCCAAAAGGCUGCAUGUGAGGAAAGUCCGGGCUCCAUAGGGCAAGGGUGCCGGCUAAUUACCGGUGAAGGUGACUUUAAGGAAAGUGCAACAGAGAUAUACCGCCGUAGAAAUACGGUAAGGGUGGAAAGGUGAGGUAAGAGCUCACCAGCGAUAUGGUAACAUAUCUGGCUAUGUAAACCCCACCUGGAGCAACACCGUGAUACGGGGCAUUGGGCGGCCCGUCCGUCCCGAAGAGGUGGCUUGAGUAUGAUAGAGAUAUCGUACCUAGAUAGAUGAUUAUCGAAUACAGAACCCGGCUUAUAGGUCCAGUAAGAAA
rnacentral:RNase_P_RNA from 1 species